rnacentral:rRNA from 1 species
UCGGGAAUUUUGGGCAAUGGGCGAAAGCCUGAUCCAGCCAUGCCGCGUGUGUGAAGAAGGUCUUCGGAUUGUAAAGCACUUUAAGUUGGGAGGAAGGGCAGUUACCUAAUACGUGAUUGUUUUGACGUUACCGACAGAAUAAGCACCGGCUAACUCUGUGCCAGCAGCCGCGGUAAUACAGAGGGUGCAAGCGUUAAUCGGAAUUACUGGGCGUAAAGCGCGCGUAGGUGGUUAGUUAAGUUGGAUGUGAAAUCCCCGGGCUCAACCUGGGAACUGCAUUCAAAACUGACUGACUAGAGUAUGGUAGAGGGUGGUGGAAUUUCCUGUGUAGCGGUGAAAUGCGUAGAUAUAGGAAGGAACACCAGUGGCGAAGGCGACCACCUGGACUGAUACUGACACUGAGGUGCGAAAGCGUGGGGAGCAAACAGGAUUAGAUACCCUUGUAGUCCCUGAGCGGGCUGGCAAGGCGCAU